rnacentral:rRNA from 1 species
AGUGGCGGACAGGUGAGUAACGCGUGGGUAACCUGCCGUAUGCCGGGGGACAACAGUUGGAAACGACUGCUAAUACCGCAUAAGCGCACACUAUCGCAUGAUAGAGUGUGAAAAAACUCCGGCGGCAGUACGAUGGACCCGCGUCUGAUUAGCAGUUGGUGAGGUAGCGGCCCACCAAGGCGACGAUCAGUAGCCGGCCUGAGAGGGUGAACGGCCACAUUGGGACUGAGACACGGCCCAAACUCCUACGGGAGGCAGCAGUGGGGAAUAUUGCACAAUGGGGGAAACCCUGAUGCCAGCGACGCCGCGUGAGUGAAGAAGUAUUUCGGUAUGUAAAGCUCUAUCAGCAAGGAAGAAAAUGACGGUACUUGACUAAGAAGCCCCGGCUAACUACGUGCCAGCCGCUGC